rnacentral:rRNA from 1 species
GACGAACGCUGGCGGCGUGCUUAACACAUGCAAGUGGAGCGACGAACCAGGCUUCGGCCUGGGGCAAAGCCGCGAACGGGUGAGUAACACGUGGGUAACCUGCCCUGAUGACCGGGACAACCCGAGGAAACUCGGGCUAAUACCGGAUGUGCUCCCACUACACCAGUAGUGUGAGUAAAGGUAGCUUCGGCCUCCGCAUCGGGAUGGGCCCGCGGCGCAUUAGCUUGUUGGUGGGGUAAAGGCCUACCAAGGCAACGAUGCGUAGCUGGUCUGAGAG